rnacentral:rRNA from 1 species
GAUGAACGCUGGCGGCGUGCCUAAUACAUGCAAGUCGAGCGAACCACUUCGGUGGUGAGCGGCGAACGGGUGAGUAACACGUAGGUGAUCUGCCCAUCAGACGGGGACAACGAUUGGAAACGAUCGCUAAUACCGGAUAGGACGAAAGUUUAAAGGUGCUUCUGGCACCGCUGAUGGAUGAGCCUGCGGCGCAUUAGCUAGUUGGUAGGGUAAAGGCCUACAAAGGGGACGAUGCGUAGCCGACUUGAGAGGGUGAACGGCCACACUGGGACUGAGACACGGCCCAGACUCCUACGGGAGGCAGCAGUAGGGAAUCUUCGGCAAUGGGCGAAAGCCUGACCGAGCAACGCCGCGUGAAUGAUGAAGGCCUUCGGGUUGUAAAAUUCUGUUAUAAGGGAAGAACGACUUUAGUAGGAAAUGGCUAGAGUGUGACGGUACCUUAUGAGGAAUAAGCAUCGGCUAAUUCUGUGCCAGCAGCCGCCGUAACAC